rnacentral:lncRNA from 1 species
AUUUUGAUUCACGAAGCAAUCAAUGAGAAAAUGAAGUAAGAAUAAUUGAAUGAUGCAACAAAAGUGAUGAAAUCAUAUACACUUGUUGCAAAUGUGACUACAAGAAUUGAUGUCCCUGUUGGACAAAACUAUGAUGCAGUAAAUGAUUUAUCUAUUGCACGCCUGAAGCAUGGCAGACCCUUAGACUCAAAAGGUUCAUUCAUUCGAAGAAAAAAAAAGAAUAUGGCACUACUAAACUAUUGCAUUCCCGAAGCAUAACUAUUGCAUGCCACAAGCAUGACAGUCGCCGCAUGGAUAUACGUCCCAGAAAGGUUAAUCCGGGACAUGGGAAUGUUGAUGUCUCAUGCAUGAAGCAUGAUAGACGUAUAGGUUCCAAUGACUCAACUCCCAUAAGUGGAGAUUAAAAUCCAAGCUCAAGAGGAGGUUAUGAUCCGCAUUCUCUAAAUUACAACUAUCCUAGAAGAGAUAGUGUAAUGCCCUUGAAGAGGCAAUGGAUAUCCAAAGAAAUAAAAAGUUUUUAUGCAUGCGCAUGCACAUGAGAAUAUGAGAUCACAGAUUGAUGGUAACCAAUAGUAAUUUUGGUUUUUACAAGUAGCUACUAAAUUCAUCAAUGAGCUAUGUUGAUAUUGAGUCCCGUUCUUUUUCGUCAACAAAAUUUAUUGGCAAAAAUGGAGAAAGGCAAUUCCAUUACAAUUUUGUAAGAACGUGGAGAAAUGAACCUAUAUAUAUUUGAAUAUAAUACAAAUAGCCAAAAGAUGUUGAACCAAGGAGGUUACAUUGGGCAUUUGUAAUACAGUGAAAUACACUCACAUGAUAUGACACAAGGUAUUGAAACCUGAAAUUAUACUCUUGUAAACGAGUUCAUAUAAAUGGAGAAUUAUAUACGAAGGGUUGUGAGUCGCCCACAUCAUAUCUCCAUAAGUAAAUCCCUCAAGUAUACAUGAGAGCAAAUUGCUCUGUAUAAAUUCCAAAGGAAAAUGUAUCAUGAAGUGUAGCAAAAUCCCUAAAGGAUUCAAAUUGCUUGAAGUAAACCCCCGAAAGGUAAAACAUAAAUUAUGUACUCAAUACCAAUGGAUGGUAUAAAUUGCCGUAGUGAGUAUUAUCAUUAUGAUAUUGUUGCAACAUACUAAAAUCUUGCAAGAGUCAAUGACAUUAAAUUAGAACUCCUGAAGAGUUGAUGAUAUUCAAUUGAGACUCCUAAAGAGUCAAGAAAGAUUAUAAAAUGUUGAGAGAAAUAUUGUCUCGAGCUGCAAAUCGAACAAUCUACCAACACAAAUCUUAUCCAUGAUGUUUAUGAUAUUAAAGAAUCAUAUGGAUUGAAGAUUAUGAGUUAAAUACUCAAAUAUGUCGACACUAAGAAUGAUCAUUUAUCUUCGUGAGGGUAAAGAUAAAUUAAUAUUUGGUCUAGAAGUACCACAUCUUAAUGAAGUAUAUGAUUUAUUGUAUUUAGUACAAUACAUUGAAUGAAAUAAAGCUUAUCUAUUAAUAUCUCUGAGAAAUUAUAGAUAUGUACAUACACAUGAGUUAAAACAAACAAACAAGAUGAAGCCUUUACAAAGGUUGCUCAU